rnacentral:rRNA from 1 species
AGUGAACGCUGGCGGUAGGCCUAACACAUGCAAGUCGAACGGCAGCACAGUAAGAGCUUGCUCUUACGGGUGGCGAGUGGCGGACGGGUGAGGAAUACAUCGGAAUCUACUUUUUCGUGGGGGAUAACGUAGGGAAACUUACGCUAAUACCGCAUACGACCUACGGGUGAAAGCAGGGGAUCUUCGGACCUUGCGCGAUUGAAUGAGCCGAUGUCGGAUUAGCUAGUUGGCGGGGUAAAGGCCCACCAAGGCGACGAUCCGUAGCUGGUCUGAGAGGAUGAUCAGCCAAACUGGAAAUGAGAAACGGUCCAGACUCCUAAGGGAGGCCACAGUGGGGGAUAUUGGAAAAUGGGCGGAAGCCUGAUCCAGCCAUACCGCGUGGGUGAAGAAGGCCUUCGGGUUGUAAAGCCCUUUUGUUGGGAAAGAAAAGCAGCAGGUUAAUAACCCGCUGUUCUGACGGUACCCAAAGAAUAAGCAACGGCUAACUUCGUG